rnacentral:rRNA from 1 species
GACGAACGCUGGCGGCGUGCCUAAUACAUGCAAGUCGAGCGCAGGAAGCCAUCCGAACCCUUCGGGGGGACGUUGACGGAAUGAGCGGCGGACGGGUGAGUAACACGUAAAGAACCUGCCCUCAGGUCUGGGAUAACCACGAGAAAUCGGGGCUAAUACCGGAUGGGUCAUCGGACCGCAUGGUCCGAGGAUGAAAGGCGCUUCGGCGUCGCCUGGGGAUGGCUUUGCGGUGCAUUAGCUAGUUGGUGGGGUAACGGCCCACCAAGGCGACGAUGCAUAGCCGACCUGAGAGGGUGAUCGGCCACACUGGGACUGAGACACGGCCCAGACUCCUACGGGAGGCAGCAGUAGGGAAUCUUCCACAAUGGACGAAAGUCUGAUGGAGCAACGCCGCGUGAACGACGAAGGCCCUCGGGUCGUAAAGUUCUGUUGUAAGGGAAGAACAAGUGCCGCAGGCAAUGGCGGCACCUUGACG